GCAUCGGUUUAGCUCAAUGGUUACUUCUACAACUGAACGUAUCUCUCCUUAGGUCCGCGGGCCAAAGGGUUCAACCAUGGGCGCUGUCCGAUGUUUUG
ensembl:vault_RNA Vault Vault RNA